rnacentral:lncRNA from 1 species
GGAUCAGCUGAAAUAUUUGUGGGGAAAAUGGGUCAUUUAUACAAAGAAAUAUUUUGUAAAGACAUGCAUAUGAUAUGCAAUAUUCUAUGUAUGCAAUGUAUGCUUGAUCCUUUUUUUUUGUCUUUCUCUAUAUUUCUCAUUAUUUUCCUUUUUAUUAUUUUCUUUUUCUUUCUUGCAUCCACUAACAAGUUUUGGCAUGUAACCGAUAAUCGAGGUAUUCCUG